CUUUUGCAGAUAGUUUUCGUUUUGGCUCACAACAUUUGGUCAUUCACCACCAAAACCCAAAACACCUUCCUCUCUUCAAACCCAGAACCCACUCACGCGCCAAACCUUCCUUCGACUUCGAUUCACUCACAUCGUCGACGAAACUUCCUUCCUUCGAUUCACUCGCGACAUCAAACCCCAACCCCAGCCCCGCAUGAUUCUCCCUUCGUAAGCCCAGAAAUCACACACUCGUCACCUUCGAUUCAUCGAUUCACCAUCGAUUCAUUGAUUCACCACCAGAAAGAGGAAACACAAUCGAUUAUGAUUCACCUCUGAUUCGCCACUCAAACAGAAAGAGGAAAAAGCGGAAAGAAAGAACGAACAGAAUUGAUUCUCCAUCAAACUCAUCCCUUCGUCAACUCACCACCAUGGUCCCUCUCUUCAUGGUUAUCUGGAAAUAUGGAUCGGAAAUGGAUGUUUGCCAAUCAAGCGUCAAAAGAAUACAAAGAUGGGGUUCAAGAUUUUGUUAGGAAAAUAAGAAGCAGUUAUUUUUUCUAUCUAAGUGAUUGUAUCUGUGGGUUCGGCAGUGCUUUGGUUCGUGAAGUGGUUACUACUUUGUGUUGUUUUGUUGUCCUUGUUUGUUAGGUGUUUUGUUUAGAGAAUAUGAUUGUUUGUUUGAGAUUUGGUUUGAAGUACUCUUAGUUGGAAUGUAUGCAUCUACAAAUUUGGAUAUCCAAAAUGCCCUCUUUUUUUAGUACAAUAUGCAAAUGCCCUUUAUAUA